AGUAGGUAUUUGCAUCCUACCUCUUUUUUGCUUUCAACGUUCCCAUAUAAACAAUUCCUGCUUGCUGAGUCGUUCUUUUACUCUGAGCUGCCUCCCAGCCGCCCGGAAGGAAGGAGAGCACCAGAAAGAGAAAGGGAACAAGAGUGUCAACAAAGGAAGAAGGAGGAGAGGCUUAAUUGAGAUAAUUUUAGCUGUUCGGAACAGCACAGGCCGUCUGCAGAAACCAUUUGGAGAGGAAAGAGAAGGGAAUGGGAAUAACCUUAGCACAGGGCUCCGGAUAUGCCAAAUAAGGAGAAAAUGGGGGAAAGGAGGAGGAAAAGAGGACCAGUUUUUAAAGUGCAGGCCCAGCUGACAUCCACUUUGGCCAAGGUGAAUAAACACCGUUGUCGUUUGCCUUCAACCUGUCCACGUCUUAUUCGGUCCUUUGGAGUUUGGCAUGCCGGGGCCAUGAACCCACGGUUUUUGCAGAGCUGAAAUCACUUGACAGAGACAUGGCAAUUAAGUCCUAAAAAAACUGAAGAGUGUGGGAAAAAUGAAUUUGCCUGCGUUCAGAGAGAAGAAAAUCUGUCCUUGUCUCUCUCCCAUGUACAUAAACACAACCCACGCUGUCUACCCAUUUCUCACUUUUCUUCUCCAAGCGUAAUGGUACAAGUUCUUCCCUCUUUGCCUUCCUCUCUACUUUAAUGAAGCUUUGCAUCUGAGAAUGGAUCUACAUUGCUAUAUAAUGCAGAUUGAAACUGAAAUCAGGCCCCAUCACCCAUAACCCAGUUUAGCUAACUUCAGCCGGCAACCUUUGGCCUGAAUCUACCAGUUGUAUAAAACGCGUACACACAUAUCAGGGCAAAUCCCAUAAUUCCUCUAGGCAGUACACAUAAUUC